rnacentral:rRNA from 1 species
AUGGGGGGAACCCUGAUCCAGCCAUGCCGCGUGUGUGAAGAAGGCCUUUUGGUUGUAAAGCACUUUAAGCGAGGAGGAGGAGCUCUUGGUUAAUACCCAAGAUGCUUGGACGUUACUCGCAGAAUAAGCACCGGCUAACUCUGUGCCAGCAGCCGCGGUAAUACAGAGGGUGCAAGCGUUAAUCGGAUUUACUGGGCGUAAAGCGCGCGUAGGUGGCCAAUUAAGUCAAAUGUGAAAUCCCCGAGCUUAACUUGGGAAUUGCAUUCGAUACUGGUUGGCUAGAGUAUGGGAGAGGAUGGUAGAAUUCCAGGUGUAGCGGUGAAAUGCGUAGAGAUCUGGAGGAAUACCGAUGGCGAAGGCAGCCAUCUGGCCUAAUACUGACACUGAGGUGCGAAAGCAUGGGGAGCAAACAGGAUUAGAUACCCUGGUAGUCCAUGCCGUAAACGAUGUCUACUAGCCGUUGGGGCCUUUGAGGCUUUAGUGGCGCAGCUAACGCGAUAAGUAGACCGNCUGGGGAGUACAGUCGCAAGACUAG